AUUUAAGUAGUUUAUUAAAAUAUGGGCUUGUGGUGCCUAAGAUGUAAGUAUUACCUUAAAUA
rnacentral:tRNA from 1 species